rnacentral:sRNA from 1 species
UGGUUGUAAGAUUUUUUGAACAUGGAC